UCCAAUGUUGCUGGACUUCUACUGUUGC
rnacentral:piRNA from 1 species